CUCCACAGCUACUGGUCUGGAACUGUUCAGAACUGUAGCAGUUGCAGCAUUCCUCCUGUGGAAAAUUAGCUGUUACAUGGCAUGAAGCUCCUUCUCAGAUCCUCUGAAAAGGACUUCGUCUGUAACAAACAAUG